ACGAACGUACUGAGUCGAAGGGCUCGAAUAAGAGAUAAAUAAAAGACAAGAGUUAGUCUGAUCUGAAACCCCUAACCGAACAGGUGCCUUUUUAAUAGUUACUCCGGAUCUACACCUCGUUAGUCAAAUAAUCCUUUUGCUACAUAUAUACCUCUUUAAAAGUGGCGACGAGUAAAAAAAAAAAAGAUAACUUUUCGCGUUUGCAUAAAGUGAAACUAAGUAGUAACCCUUCUAUCAGCUGUUACGGUGUGAUUUAUCGCUGAAAAGCAGAAUUGCUCCGCCGGCGCGGCGUUGCCGUUGAAAGCAGAUUGAGGUAGUAUUAUUACCAACCACGAGGCAAGAGUCAAACAACCUUCCGAAAUUCGAAGACGCUACGCUAAAUCGUAAGUAAAAAGUGUUUUUUGGCAGCGUGUGAGGCGUCGAAACCUGGGAUUUUCCGCAAAAUAGGUCUCAACGGAGACGGAGUGGUUUGAGAUAAAUUUUGUCUGCUUCUAUUCACUGCAGUUUUCGAGGUUCAACGGAACAGAAAAGCAAGCCGCAAAAGGGUUUCUGGCGUACAGGUUCGCACAAUGAGCUCUAGUGUAGCUUUCUCUUUAGAACCCUACCGUAGGGGAACAUCGUUUAACGAUUGGUUCACCCGAUUGAAGUAUUUCUUCAGGGUGAAUAAGGUGAAAGAAGAUGAUCAACUGGCUUACUUUAUCACCAUGAGUGGCCCGGUAAUAUUCGCCGAAAUGAAGCUUCUUUUUCCGGGAGGAAACUUUGAAGAGGCAGCUUUGGACGAAAUUGUGUCUAAGCUAAAAAAUCGUCUGGAUAAAACGGAUCCCGAUCUGGUACAACGGUACAAAUUUGGUACCAGAGUACAGAAUCCAGAUGAGUCCACGGAAGACUUCAUUUUAAACCUGAAACUUCAAGCAGAACCCAAGUAACAUUUUUAGUUUUAUCAUAUUCUAUUAGCAGUUUUGGAGAGCAAAUUUUCAAGACUAGCAAUAAAACUAAAAUCUACAUGACAACCUCUUGAUGACCGCUACAAGAUUACGUUAUGACUAAGUGGACCACUCUUGAGAUCGUCUUCAAAGCAAGUUUUAGGUUAUUCAUAAGAGUUCCAUAAAACCGCUGUCAAAAAAGGGAAUUUCUUUUCCGUGGAGCUUUUUGUUAUUGUUUUGUAGAAAAAGGAAAAUCGUAAAAAUGGAAGAAUGAAAUAAAAAACAACAUCACCGGCAUUGAUGAAAAAUAAUGUUCAAAUAUUGGAAAUUGGAUUCCCAGAAUUCGUUCGCGUGCUUGCAAAUUUUUCUGCGCGUUCGAAUUUCUGGUGAAAACAGGUAAGAAAAUCAAUUUGUUUAAGUGCGCCGUCGUAAUACUGUGAUUUACGGCCAAUUAAUUAGUGUAAAUAAUAAAUCGACAUGCAGCCUUUUUUUCUGGUGGCAUUCCGAUUUGCAAGGAAACAUUUCUCGUGCUUCAAAUUUUGUAAAAUCAUCUUGA